rnacentral:misc_RNA from 1 species
GAUGAAGAACGCAGCAAAAUGCGAUAAGUAAUGUGAAUUGCAGAGUUCAGUGAAUCAUCGAAUCUUUGAACGCACAUUGCGCCCGUCAGUAUUCUGACGGGCAUGCCUGUCCGAGCGUCAUUUCAACCCUCAAGCACUGCUUGGCGUUGGCGGAUUGCGUGCCCUCGCGGCGCUGCAACCGCCCAAAUACAGUGGCGGUCCCGCUGCGGCUCCCUUUGCGUAGUAACUCACCUCGCACUGGACCGGGCGGCGGCCUGCCGUAAAACCCCAACUCACGAAAUGUUGACCUCGGAUCAGGUAGGAAUACCCGCUGAACUUAAGCAUAUCAAUAAGCGGAGGA